rnacentral:lncRNA from 1 species
GCCCCAGAUUUUGUUGCGAAGGCUUUUGAUAUUGUGGUGCAAGAAUUGAUACCUAACGCAAUGCCUGGACAAAGUAUGAGCCGUUCCUUACCUGGUAAACCUCUUAGAGGAUUCACUGGAGCUGCCCUUCUAAAACAUGAUUCAGUUUGCAUGUAUUCAGUGACAGAGGUUGAACUGACACGUGUGAAGAACUCAACGAUUUGAUCGAGGGUAAUUUUCUAUCCCACAGACCGAUCCAUUUGAAAAAGAUUUGAUAUCCCCCUGUUCACUUUGCACUGUGGGUAAUUGCUGCAGAAGAUAUAGGAAUGUAGCAUUUUUUUAUGGUUAUCCGAAUGAAAGGAAAACUGAAGAGAAGUGGCCCCAAAUCGAAAAACACUUUUUCAAUUGAACUGUCAUGUAAAUGUCCAAAAUUGAGAUGAUUAAUUCACUUAUGUAUGGUGUAAAAUUUAUAUGCUGGUGGUGUUCUUUUUAUGGUUUCAGCUUGUGUGGUGGCACUCACAUGUACCAAAUUGCACGUUUUCUGUGAUGUGGUAUAACACCAUGGUGAAGAAACCAUUCAGACUCCACAGACAAAAUCAUUCGGACAUGGCAGUGAACCAUUCAUUUGUUACAUGGAGUGCGGUCGACAAAUUAGGUAUUUCUUUCAUUUGUGCUGUCAUUUAUUUUAUAUAUAUUUAUGUGAAAUAAAUAUACUCAAUUGGAUGUUUUCUGUUGGGUGAUUUUGGAAUCAUCCAACAGUUUUUGAUUUUAGAACUUUUCAUCUAACCUUAUAUUUUCUACGGAAAUUUUAGGUUUGGGUCAUACUUCACCAUCACUUGCGUCCGACAAACUACCUGAGCUGCAAUUGUCUCCAAACUGGACGUAGAAAUAGUCAGAAUCUUAAUUUCAAGUUCUUCACGUACACUUUGCUCUUAGUGCCAGGCUCUAGGAACUGUUCCCAUAUUAUUUAUUUUAUAUGCUAGAAAUCCAAAUCUUAGACUUAUGUAGUAUUAAAUUACUUAAUGGUGUGCAAAGUCUACUUCUAGGAUAAGAUCAUCUUUCAGCAAUAGUAUUGAACUGUGCAAAGUUAAGUUCUAUUUUUUUGGCCGUGCAAAACAAAAAUCACAUUGGACCUCCAACGCAUGGCAACUCAGCAAAGACAGGCGUCAGUUCAUGCACACCCUCCCUCCAGCAGCUCAUAUCUUAGGCAUAUUCUCUGUUUUCUUGCAAUUUUAGAAAGAUCCUCUUGGUGAUCUCAGAUUGUCAUGCAAGUUAAGAAACAUUUUAGUUUAUGUCGUCUCUUUUCUUUUAAUGCUCAGCUUGUAUCCUCUUGCAAUGCAAGAUUAUCCAUAUUGCUGGCAGCCCUUAUUUUUUAUGUGUGCUUUACUAUUCAUUUUUUCGUGCCUAUGCAUUAAACUGAUAAUGUAAUAUGGAGAUCCAAAAAGCUUAUUGAGAUAUUGAUAUCGCUUCUCUAUAAAUGGAAGAAGGAAGUCUUUUAUGUGAUUCUUUUUUCCAUUAAAAUGCACUCCAGUUUCUUCAUGGAUUAGUUAUUCAAACCUGCAGUUCUUUCUAUAGUCAUCAAGGGCAACAUGAAUAACUCCAUUUUGGAACAUAAGGCUGGACAUAAUUUAAGGAAUGAAUCCACUUCCCUCAAGAAGGACAACGACCACGAG